UACGAAGGGUGCAAGCGUUACUCGGAAUUACUGGGCGUAAAGCGUGCGUAGGUGGUUUGUUAAGUCUGAUGUGAAAGCCCUGGGCUCAACCUGGGAAUGGCAUUGGAUACUGGCGACCUAGAGUGCGGUAGAGGGGUGUGGAAUUCCCGGUGUAGCAGUGAAAUGCGUAGAUAUCGGGAGGAACAUCUGUGGCGAAGGCGACACCCUGGACCAGCACUGACACUGAGGCACGAAAGCUAGGGGAGCAAACGGG
rnacentral:rRNA from 1 species